ensembl:lncRNA
UGUGAGCACUGGCCUCUUGUGCCUCAGUUUCUUCAUCUGAAAAAUGGGCCUAAUAAUGGCAGAGGCAGAGAAAUGGUGAAGGUAAGGCCCUUAGCAAGGAAAGGGGCUUGUCCCAGGUCACCUGCGGCCCUGAAGCUCCCCCAUCAGUAUGGGUUGCAGGCCUUCAAGGUGGAGGAGAAUUGGGCUUACCGCCAUGUCCCACCACGGGUUGGGUGGUGGUAUUGUUCCUAUCUGCAGGUGAGAAGAGAAAGGCUCAGAGAAAUUGGUAACUGGCCCUACAGGACAGGAAGGGUGCAAAUUCUCAGGCCUGCUCUCUCCCUGGGAUUUGGGAUUCCAUUCCCACAGCCCUCGCCCUCCUCCAGAUAGAAAAACUAAAGUGCAAAAUGCAUUUCCCCUGCAGGACAUCCUCCUCCCUCUCCCCAAAACCACACAGUGACCCUGGCCUGGCCCUCUGCGCCCAGGAGGAGCAGGGUCCCCAUCAGGCAUCUCGGAGCUGGCUUUCACAUCGAUGGAGCACAAAGGGGGCUAGCCCGGCAGAGAAAGAGCCCGACAGGCCAGGAGCCGGCUCCACGGGCGCUUUUCUCCCCGCUUUCUUCCUCUCUGGGCUCUUUGUUAAGCUCCCUUUCAGCUGAGCCGGCAGAGCCUGGGUGUUCCGAGCUGACAAUAAUUGCUGCGUCUAGACAGUGUCUGACACACUCACCCUAUUGGGUCCCCAGGCCUGAAAUCCAGGGAACAAAAGUGGAUUUGCAUUUGGCUCCAGUUGGCAGGCCUUGGAGAAGGCCGAGUCCAGCCAACCCUCCUGACUGUGGACUUGCCCAGGAUCCCAGGCGGUCCACCUUGCUGAAUUCUGGGCUAACCUGGAAAGCUCUGGGAUUCACCCUGCUCCCUCCCUCAUCUUUCCACCCAUGCUUGGAUGGGAACCCAGAGGAAUCACCAGAGGUCCAAGGAAGAACCUUCUGGCAGCUCUCACCAUCAGUGAGGGAUAGACUGCUUUCAGGAAAUGCAGGGAGUGGGAAGUGGAUUUUCACAAGUUCUAAGAUUUGUCCCUGCCCCCGCUCCGAUCAGUCAUUCUGGAAGGUUUUCCAGAAUCUGAAGUCUCCUCACUUCUCAAUUCUAGGAUCAGAAUUGAGACCCUAGUGGUGAUUCUGAGACAGUAAUAAUAAUAGUCGGCCCUCUCCCUGCACCAG